rnacentral:rRNA from 1 species
GACGAACGCUGGCGGCGUGCCUAAUACAUGCAAGUCGACGACGCGGACGGGUGAGUAACACGUGGGCAACCUACCUGUAAGACUGGGAUACCUUACGGAAACGUGAGCUAAUACCGGAUACUUACAGAUGGGCCCGCGGCGCAUUAGCUAGUUGGUGGGGUAAAGGCCUACCAAGGCGACGAUGCGUAGCCGACCUGAGAGGGUGAUCGGCCACACUGGGACUGAGACACGGCCCAGACUCCUACGGGAGGCAGCAGUAGGGAAUCUUCCGCAAUGGACGAAAGUCUGACAGAGCAACGCCGCGUGAGCGAAGAAGGUCUUCGGAUCGUAAAGCUCUGUUGUUAGGGAAGCGGUACCUAACCAGAAAGCCACGGCUAACUACGUGCCAGCAGCCGCGGUAAUAC